GAAUUGACGGGGGCCCGCACAAGCGGUGGAGCAUGUGGUUUAAUUCGAUGCAACGCGAAGAACCUUACCUACUCUUGACAUCCAGAGAAUUUAGCAGAGAUGCUUUAGUGCCUUCGGGAACUCUGAGACAGGUGCUGCAUGGCUGUCGUCAGCUCGUGUUGUGAAAUGUUGGGUUAAGUCCCGCAACGAGCGCAACCCUUAUCCUUUGUUGCCAGCACGUAAUGGUGGGAACUCAAAGGAGACUGCCGGUGAUAAACCGGAGGAAGGUGGGGAUGACGUCAAGUCAUCAUGGCCCUUACGAGUAGGGCUACACACGUGCUACAAUGGCGCAUACAAAGAGAAGCGACCUCGCGAGAGCAAGCGGACCUCAUAAAGUGCGUCGUAGUCCGGAUUGGAGUCUGCAACUCGACUCCAUGAAGUCGGAAUCGCUAGUAAUCGUAAAUCAGAAUGUUACGGUGAAUACGUUCCCGGGCCUUGUACACACCGCCCGUCACACCAUGGGAGUGGGUUGCAAAAGAAGUAGAUAGCUUA
rnacentral:rRNA from 1 species